rnacentral:rRNA from 1 species
AUCGAGGAAAAUAAAAAUUAACCUUCAAGUGAAGAGACUUGAGUAUCAUAAAAAGACGAAAAGACCCUAUGGAGCUUUACUUAAAUUAUUAAACCACAAAUAAAAAAAGCUUUUUUUACUAAAAAAGUUUAGUUGGGGCGACUAAGGAGCACACACCACCCUCCUACUGACAAAAGACUCUAAAUCUACAAAAGAUCCACAAACGUGAAUAAAAAUCCAGCUACCCUAGGGAUAACAGGCUAAUCCUCCUUAAGAGCUCAAAUUGACAGGAGGGCUUGGCACCUCGAUGUUGGCUUAAGAUCUCUACUAAGUGCAGCAGCUUAGGUAGUAGGUUUGUUCAACCUUUAAAAUCUU